rnacentral:rRNA from 1 species
GAUGAACGCUAGCUACAGGCUUAACACAUGCAAGUCGAGGGGAAACGGCAUUGAGUGCUUGCACUCUUUGGACGUCGACCGGCGCACGGGUGAGUAACGCGUAUCCAACCUUCCCAUUACUGUGGGAUAACCUGCCGAAAGGCAGACUAAUACCGCAUAGUCUUCGAUGACGGCAUCAGAUUUGAAGUAAAGAUUUAUCGGUAAUGGAUGGGGAUGCGUCUGAUUAGCUUGUUGGCGGGGUAACGGCCCACCAAGGCUACGAUCAGUAGGGGUUCUGAGAGGAAGGUCCCCCACAUUGGAACUGAGACACGGUCCAAACUCCUACGGGAGGCAGCAGUGAGGAAUAUUGGUCAAUGGACGGAAGUCUGAACCAGCCAAGUAGCGUGCAGGAUGACGGCCCUAUGGGUUGUAAACUGCUUUUGUAUGGGGAUAAAGUUAGGGACGUGUCCCUAUUUGCAGGAACCAUACGAAUAAGGACCGGCUAAUUCCGUG